rnacentral:rRNA from 1 species
GGGCGAAAUAUAUUGACACAAGGGGCGACAAGCCUGAUGCAGCCAUGCCGCGUGUAUGAAGAAGGCCUUCGGGUUGUAAAGUACUUUCAGUCGUGAGGAAGAGGGUAUCGUUAAUAGCGGUAUUCUUUGACGUUAGCGACAGAAGAAGCACCGGCUAACUCCGUGCCAGCAGCCGCGGUAAAUAAAAAAAAU